CAGGUGCCUGUGCCUUUAUCACCGCUCAACCUCCCUGCCAGCCUUGUCCCUGUCGCAUGGCGCAAGCGCCCUUCACAACCGCUGCCCGCAUCUCCCAGGCUUCGUUCUUCCGCCAUUUCUUCCUCUGGGGUUGAGAGCAUCUAGCUGCUCCUCAUUCUCGGGAAGUUGAAAAACAAGAUCAGAAGAGAAAACACUAAGCAGAACCUGGACUGGAGUUGGUGUAUUGCACCAAAGGAAAAUUCUCUGGAGUGUGUAUGUGGGGGGGGGACAGUACAGGUCCUGGAAAAGGAUGACAGAGGGCCUAGUGGGAGUUGUAUUGUUAUGUGGAAAACUGAGAGAUGUUAUGCAUGUACAAACUAUCAUAUUUAAUGUCAAAUGUAAAACAUUAAUCCCCCAAUAAA